CCUACGGGAGGCAGCAGUGGGGAAUAUUGCGCAAUGGGCGAAAGCCUGACGCAGCGACGCCGCGUGAGGGAUGAAGGUCUUCGGAUCGUAAACCUCUGUCAGCAGGGAAGAACGGUCACUGUGCUAAUCAGCAGUGAAUUGACGGUACCUGCAAAGGAAGCACCGGCUAACUCCGUGCCAGCAGCCGCGGUAAUACGGAGGGUGCGAGCGUUAAUCGGAAUUACUGGGCGUAAAGCGCUCGUAGGCGGUAUGUCAAGUCAAGGGUGAAAUCCCCGCGCUCACCGUGGGAACUGCCUUUGAAACUGGCAAACUGGAGUGUGUGAGAGGAUAGUGGAAUUCCAGGUGUAGGAGUGAAAGCCGUAGAUAUCUGGAGAAACAUCAGUGGCGAAGGCGACUAUCUGGCACAUAACUGACGCUGAGGAGCGAAAGCGUGGGUAGCAAACAGGAUUAGAUACCCCUGUAGUC
rnacentral:rRNA from 1 species